rnacentral:rRNA from 1 species
AACGAACGCUGGCGGCAGGCUUAACACAUGCAAGUCGAACGGGCGCAGCAAUGCGUCAGUGGCAGACGGGUGAGUAACGCGUGGGAACGUGCCUUUCGGUUCGGAAUAACUCAGGGAAACUUGAGCUAAUACCGGAUACGCCCUUUGGGGGAAAGAUUUAUUGCCGAAAGAUCGGCCCGCGUCCGAUUAGCUAGUUGGAGAGGUAAAGGCUCACCAAGGCGACGAUCGGGUAGCUGGGUCUGAGAGGAUGAUCAGCCACACUGGGACUGAGACACGGCCCAGACUCCUACGGGAGGCUG